UGGGGACCGCAGUACUCUCUGUGCUUUCCUGUAUCUCCGUCUUUGCAGCUCUUUGGGCAGCCCUGAAAUGAAGACCUUCCCUUCUCCUCAGACAGCAUCACCUGUAAUCCUGCACGUGUCCACAUGUCCGAGUGGAACACAGCUGGGGAUGGGGAAUGCGAUCCAGCCAUGAGGACGGCGUGCACACAGUACUGCAGCACCUUGCACAGCGUGCAGUGCCAGGCCUUGAUCCUGCCCCUGAAUGCACUCGGGAGAAUUUUCCCACUCCUUAAUAAAGCUGUGAUGUGCAUUAGGCUGAAAUUAA